rnacentral:tRNA from 2 species
GGGCCUAUAGCUCAGUUGGUUAGAGCAACGGACUCAUAAUCCGUCGGUCGUAGGUUCGAGUCCUACUGGGCCCACCA